rnacentral:snRNA from 1 species
AUCGCUUCUCGGCCUUUUGGCUAAGAUCAAAGUGUAGUAUCUGUAUGGUAUGUAGCUCUAACGUCU